UACGUAGGUGGCAAGCGUUAUCCGGAUUUAUUGGGCGUAAAGGGAACGCAGGCGGUCUUUUAAGUCUGAUGUGAAAGCCUUCGGCUUAACCGGAGUAGUGCAUUGGAAACUGGGAGACUUGAGUGCAGAAGAGGAGAGUGGAACUCCCUGUGUAGCGGUGAAAUGCGUAGAUAUAUGGAAGAACACCAGUGGCGAAAGCGGCUCUCUGGUCUGUAACUGACGCUGAGGUUCGAAAGCGUGGGUAGCAAACAGG
rnacentral:rRNA from 1 species